GGGGAUAUAGCUCAGUUGGUAGAGUGCUUGCCUUGCAUGCACAAGGUCCUGGGUUCGAUCCCUAGCACCA
rnacentral:tRNA from 1 species